UACGGGGGGGGCAAGCGUUGUUCGGAAUUACUGGGCGUAAAGGGCUCGUAGGCGGCCAACUAAGUCGGAUGUGAAAUCCCCAGGCUUAACCUGGGAACUGCAUCCGAUACUGGAUGGCUUGAAUCCGGGAGAGGGAUGCAGAAUUCCAGGUGUAGCGGUGAAAUGCGUAGAUAUCAGGAGGAACACCGGUGGCGAAGGCGGAUCUCUGGACCAGUUCUGACACUGAUGAGCGAAAGCCAGGGGAGCAAACAGG
rnacentral:rRNA from 1 species